CACGAGGAACUUGUGCUAAUACCGGAUAAGCCUUCACAGGNAAGUUUUAACGCCNAAAGAUGAGCCUGCACUUGAUUAGCUAGUUGGUAAGGUAAUGGCUUACCAAGGCUACGAUCAAUAGCUGAUCUGAGAGGAUGAUCAGCCACAUUGGGACUGAGACACGGCCCAAACUCCUACGGGAGGCAGCAGUGGGGAAUCUUGCACAAUGGGGNNAACCCUGAUGCAGCGAUGCCGCGUGAGUGAAGAAGGCCUUUGGGUUGUAAAGCUCUUUCGUCGGGGNAGAAAAUGACUGUACCCGAAUAAGAAGGUCC
rnacentral:rRNA from 1 species